AUGGUGCGAGGAUCAUAUAUAGAGCCCCUUGUUCCGUCUACUAGUAUGCAGUACAUGCGCGCGACUCUCGCCCUUCCUCACAUGGAGCCGUUCACGAUGCCAUACUACCACUUCGGCCUAUGCCUCUUCUUGGCUCUCCUCUACCACGCCGUCCUACGCGCUCUUUCUGCCGCCGCCAAGCAGCCCCGGCCGAGGCUGCCUCCCGGCCCGUGGCAGCUUCCGAUCAUCGGCAGCCUGCACCACCUGCUGCGCGGGCUCCCACACCGCACCAUGCGCGACCUCUCCCUCCGCCACGGCCCGCUCAUGCUGCUCCGGCUGUGCGAGCGCGUGGCCAUCGUCGUCUCCUCAGCCGAGGCCGCGAGGGAGAUCUACAAGGGCAACGAGGCCGCCUUCUCGGAGCGCCUAAGCAGCCCGGGCAUCGACGAGUUCUCCAGGCAUGGCCAGGGGAUCGUCUUCGCGCCCUACAGCGACCACUGGCGCCUGCUCCGCCGGAUCCUCAUGACGGAGCUGCUCAGCGCGCGGCGCGUCGAGGCGUUCCGGCAGAUCCGCGAGGAGGAGGCGGGCCGCCUCGUCUCGACGAUUCAGGCGACGUCCGACGGCCGGCUCGUGAACGUCGACGAGAGGCUCGACGAGUUCAUGACAGACUCGGCCGUGCGCGCCAUCUUCGGGGACAGGCUGCCCGACAGAGCCGCGUUCCUGAAGAUCGUCAAGCAAGGAGUGGGUCUGUCGUCGCUGUUCGACCUCCGGGAUCUCUUCCCGUCGUCGCGGCUGAUUCGGCUUCUGCCGCGCAGCGGCAAGGCAGAGCGGCACCGUCAAGAGAUGUUCAAGAUCAUGGACAACAUCCUUAGGAGUCACGAGGAGAGAAGGGCAGCCAGAGAUGGAGACGACGAACAGGACAUGGUUGACGUGUUGCUGAGGAUCCAGAAAGAAGGCAACAUGCGAGUUUCCCUAACCGACGGAGUCAUAAGGGCACUGCUCAUAGAUGUCUUCGGUGCGGCACUUGACACCACAACUACUAUUCUACAAUGGGCGAUGGCUGAACUAAUGACAAACCCAAGAGUCAUGCAGCGGGUGCAAUCCGAGGCAGAUUAUGUUCUAGCAGGACAUGCCACAGUACAAGAGGCCUCACUAAAAAGCAUGCAAUACCUCCAGGUGGUUAUUAAAGAGACCUUGCGACUACACCCUCCUGCCUCGCUCUUCCCUAGAGUGUGUGUGCAAGACAGCAAGAUUCAAGGAUACGACGUACCACGAGGGGCUACUACGCUAACCAACACAUGGGCAAUCUCUAGGGACCCGAAGUACUGGAAUGAGCCUGAAAAGUUCAUGCCAGAGAGAUUUGAAUGUGAUGGUGUUGCGGACUUCAGAGGUUUGGACUUUGAGUUCACUCCUUUUGGUGUUGGGAGGAGGAUUUGCCCUGGGAUUGAUUUUGCAUAUGCAAACAUUGAGAUUGCAUUAGCUAGCCUAAUUUACCAUUUUAACUGGGAGCUUCCUCCCAGAGUGGACCCAAAGGAAAUAGACAUGACAGAGAUGUUUGGAGCAACUGUUCGAAGGAAGGCUGAGCUAUUUCUGCGUCCCAUUCCUCGUGUCCCCCUCUAG
rnacentral:rRNA from 1 species